CCCUGCAUCCUGAAUAUGUUUAUGAGUAUGGAAUCAUAUCAAACUCAAAUAUAUAUUCAUAUUGAUUCUCUAUUAACCAAUGAUGACUCCGAUGAUGAUGCAUUAGAAACUCUUUCUAAUCUCUUUUCUGCUUUUCACCAAAAAACUUUUUUUGAGUCAUCUAGAGAUGAGAAUUCACAGGAUUAAAUCUCCUCUUACUAGGAGUGAUUGA
rnacentral:lncRNA from 1 species